UGCUUUUCUGGAAAACCUGGAAGCCAUUGGCAGGGCUGUCUGGACCCCUCCUCCAGUCCUCCCAAGGCCUUGCCUGGACACAACUGACAUCUACAUAGACAGUCACACUCGUGGAACACAAGGGGGAGGGGUGGGGAUUCGGUGUGGCCUCAGUUGUUCUCAAAUUACAUGAUAAAGUAGAUGUAGUGGAUCCUUUACACCAAAAGGCGUUGUGGAGUCCAGUUAUAGGAAUGCAUAACAUGUUAGCAGGACUCAUUGUAGCCUCCUCCUCAGAAGAGCCAAGGAACUCAGCCACACCCUUAAAGGCAAGGUGAUUGCACUACAAUUAGUUGACCUAUCUGGAAAAUUAAAGCUUCCCUGUGGUUUGAGGUUCUGCUCCUUUCUUUUUCUUUUCUUUUCUUUUCUUUUUUUUUUUUUUUUUUUUUUUUUUGAAUUCUUACAAGCUUCUGUUUUUGUUUUGUUUUUACCACCCUUGAGAUCCAGGUGAGGCUUUUGCUUGGAGUAGUUCGUGCAUCCUAUGGAGACAGGUUAUCAGCGUUGUGCUAGCAUUGUGCACUUCGGUCUGGGGUGGGGGGUUAGGUAGGUGUUGGGGUGCGGUGGGGGGGGAAUUCUGCUUGAAGUCUGCGUGGGCCAAUGCCGAAUUCAGACUUGGCUGCCAGACCCACCACGAGUCCGUGCUGUCCAAAGGGAGCAGACCGGAGGCAAGGAAUCCUAGCGCUCAGAUGUGUUCUCACUCACUCCUCCCUUGCUAAGUUGUGCGGUUCGCCGGGAGGAGUUCCUUCCCUUUGGCUCUUCUGGCCCAGACGUCUGUGGAGUCCAUGUGCAGCGAAGGGCAUCACUGGCCAGAAGUGAAAUUCUGGAAGCACGUUCCAGGGUUUGUCAGUUUCUCUGAAUGCCUGAGUAAUCCUGCAUUAUUAAGUAGGCAAGCCAGAUCAGGAACUGCAGUGUGAUCCAAGUGUGAAUAGUGACUUCAAGGAGCAGCAGAGGAAAUGCAUCUUGAACUUUCCUGAGUGAUCGUCCCUCCAAGGCAAAAGUGAUGCAGGAUGGCCAGUGUAUCUCUGGGCCUGGACAAGGAGUGGAGAGAGAAAGAGAAUGUGGAGAGAUGGAGGAGCAGAGGGAGAGGGAGAGAGAAUACCCAGCAGAAUCCCCACCUGAACAUGGAGCCCACAUGGAGAUGGACCUCACGACCCUGAAAUCAUAACCCCAGCUGAAAUCAAGAGUUGGUCACCCAACCAACCGAGCCACCCAAGUACCCCUGCAAAAGAUAUUUUAGGUAUAAUGAGCUACAACUUCUCUUUCUUCUUUGACUUUGACUUGUUCACAUUUUUCCCUUGUGUUGGGUAGAUCACUGGAAUGGCCCCAGUUAUUUGAGGGACUCCCUUUAGUUAUUAGGGGAUGAGUUGGGAAGCUGCUCAGUCUGGAUCUAUGAGAAUUCAUUUACAUGACUUACUGUCACUUCUACAUGUAGUUAGUUUGUUGUUAGCAAUCCUAUGUAGAAAUGACCUCAAAUAUGCUCUUAUAAAUAAUCAAAAGUAGUGAAUCACAUCAAUACAUUGGGGGAAAAAAUCAAUAUGAGAUGAUUUGAUGUAAAACAUUCACAUUGAGAAAUUACAAAUAGUAUUUCACUAGAAGGAGUCAAUUUAGUUAAUGAGUGAUGUCAGAGUAUUUUACUCCUCAAGAGCAACUGAAAUGGCCUGAAAUCAUGUGAAAAGACUUGAAAAAGGUUCUCCCUCAAAAGGUAUUCCCAUUUGACAGUAAUUAAAACUUUUACCUGAAUUUGCCAAUUAUGAGAGUUCUGAGUUUUAAAAUAUUUUCCCUGAACAUUCAACAACUUAAAAACACUAAAUUUGACUAUUAUCCUUUUCCACCUUGAGUUGUAUUAGCACCUUGGUUGAAAAUUACUGGGUCAUAUAUAUGUGGUUCUAUUUCUAGACUCUCUAUUUUGCCUAACCAGCCUAUGUUGUCUUGAUUUUUAUUAUACCUUCAUAAAAAUUCUUAAAAUCAAGUAAGAAAAUUUGCCAAUAUUUUUUAUUUUUAAAACAGUUUCAGCUUUGCAUUUUAAUAUUAAUUUUAGAAUCAGACUGAUAAUUGACACUAAAAAUAGCCUGCUGGGAUUUUGAUUCCUAUUGCUUUGAAUUUAUACUUUGAGAGAAAUUUGUCAUAUUAA